rnacentral:pre_miRNA from 1 species
UACAACCUCAGCGUAGCUACUGUACAAUAACAACUACUUAUUGUACAGUAGCUACGCUGAGGUUCAACUACAACCUC